CAAGUUACGCUUUAACAGUCUGGCCCUGGGAAAUUGCAGCCCUCCCCGACCUUCAGUCUGACUUGUUCUUUCUCUGGGUUUUCACUGAGCACUUAUGGAAUGAUGGUGAGCUGGAUGUGUCAGCCUUCAGGGAAGGGUGUGGAGUGGCUGGCACACAUUUGGUGGAAUGAUGAUAAGGGCUACAACCCAUCCCUGAGGAGCCGGCUGACAAUCUCCAAAGAUACCCCCAACACCCAGGUAUUCCUUAAGAUCUCCAGUGUGGUCACUGCAGAUACUACCACAUACUACUGUGCUUGAGGAG